UACGUAGGGUGCGAGCGUUAAUCGGAAUUACUGGGCGUAAAGCGUGCGCAGGCGGUUUUGUAAGCCAGAUGUGAAAUCCCCGGGCUCAACCUGGGAAUGGCAUUUGGGACUGCAAGGCUGGAGUGUGGCAGAGGAGACGUGGAAUUCCUGGUGUAGCAGUGAAAUGCGUAGAUAUCAGGAGGAAUACCGAUGGCGAAGGCAGGUCUCUGGGCAUUAACUGACGCUGAGGAGCGAAAGCAUGGGGAGCGAACAGGG
rnacentral:rRNA from 1 species